rnacentral:miRNA from 1 species
CAAAGUUGAUCGUGUUUAUGACGUCGAUUAUCGACGUCAUAAACACCAAAGUUGAUCGUGUUUAUGACGUCGAAUAUCGACGUCAUAAACACCAAAG